rnacentral:rRNA from 1 species
UGUAAGCAAUGGAGAGACGCAGGAAGGUAGCCGAACCGCGGCGAUGGUUGUUCCGCGGGUAAGGGUGUAGGGCGAGGUGUAGGCAAAUCCGCACCUCAUGUGCCUGAGACCUGACACGGACCCGUAAGGGGAAGUCGGUGAUCCUAUGCUGCCAAGAAAAUCUUCUAGCGAGGUUCUAGCCGCCCGUACCCCAAACCGACUCAGGUGGUUAGGUAGAGAAUACCAAGGCGAUCGAGUGAAUCGUGGUUAAGGAAUUCGGCAAAAUACCCCCGUAACUUCGGGAGAAGGGGGGCCCAGAGGGUGACGGGACUUGCUCCCCGAGCCUGAACGGCCGCAGAGACCAGGGAGAAGCGACUGUUUACUAAAAACACAGGUCCGUGCCAAGUCGCAAGACGAUGUAUACGGACUGACGCCUGCCCGGUGCUGGAACGUUAAGGGGACCGGUUAGCCUCACGGCGAAGCUGAGAACUUAAGCGCCAGUAAACGGCGGUGGUAACUAUAACCAUCCUAAGGUAGCGAAAUUCCUUGUCGGGUAAGUUCCGACCUGCACGAAUGGCGUAACGACUUCUCCACUGUCUCAACCACGAACUCGGCGAAAUUGCACUACGAGUAAAGAUGCUCGUUACGCGCAGAAGGACGGAAAGACCCCGGGACCUUUACUACAGCUUGGUAUUGGUGUUCGGUACGGCUUGUGUAGGAUAGGUGGGAGACUGUGAAGCUGACACGCCAGUGCCGGUGGAGUCAACGUUGAAAUACCACUCUGGUCGUUCUGGAUAUCUAACCUAGGUCCGUAAUCCGGAUCAGGGACAGUGCCUGGUGGGUAGUUUAACUGGGGCGGUUGCCUCCUAAAAGGUAACGGAGGCGCCCAAAGGUUCCCUCAGCCUGGUUGGCAAUCAGGUUUCGAGUGUAAGUGCACAAGGGAGCCUGACUGUGAGACUGACAAGUCGAACAGGGACGAAAGUCGGGACUAGUGAUCCGGCGGUGGCUUGUGGAAGCGCCGUCGCUCAACGGAUAAAAGGUACCCCGGGGAUAACGGGCUGAUCUUGCCCAAGAGUCCAUAUCGACGGCAUGGUUUGGCACCUCGAUGUCGGCUCGUCGCAUCCUGGGGCUGGAGUAGGUCCCAAGGGUUGGGCUGUUCGCCCAUUAAAGCGGUACGCGAGCUGGGUUUAGAACGUCGUGAGACAGUUCGGUCCCUAUCCUCUGCGCGCGCAGGAAACUUGAGAAGGGCUGUCCCUAGUACGAGAGGACCGGGAUGGACGAACCUCUGGUGUGUCAGUUGUUCUGCCAAGAGCACCGCUGAUUAGCUACGUUCGGGAGUGAUAACCGCUGAAAGCAUCUAAGCGGGAAGCAUGCUUCAAGAUGAGGUUUCCAUGGGGUUUACCC